rnacentral:misc_RNA from 1 species
UAGCUGCGAUACGCGGUGUGAAUUGCAGGACACGCCGAACACUAGAUUAUCGAACGCACAUUGCGGCUUCGAAUAUCUAUUCGGAGCCAGAUCUGCGCGAGGGUUGAAAGAUAACUUACCAAUGGUAAUGGUCCGGGGUCGUAAGCCCCUCAGCGGUAACGUCGUCGGACCUAAGACGCUUCGUGCUCGAACGCCGUCAGUCGAAUGUGUGCUAAGACUGCGUGCGGAUGUGCAAUCACCCAACGGUGUGUUUUGCUGCCGUACAUUCAAGCAGUGCUUGCCUAUUUCGCUGGCCGGUGGUGAAGGCAUGCGGCUACUGCAUUGAGGCAGGCGGCAAUCAGCCGUAGCCGACUGUGUACAAAGAACAAAUCUCAACCUCGCGUCAGUUCAGACUACCCCC